UAGGAUAAGGCCCCUCAGCUACUGGCA
rnacentral:piRNA from 1 species